GGCCGGUUAGCUCAGUCAGUUGAGCGUAGCGCUAACAACGCUAAAGUCGUGGGUUCAAUUCCCGUUCGGUCC
rnacentral:tRNA from 1 species